CGAACGGGUGAGUAAUGCGUGACCAACCUGCCCCAUGCUCCAGAAUAGCUCUUGGAAACGGGUGGUAAUGCUGGAUGCUCCAACUUGACGCAUGUCUUGUUGGGAAAGUGUUUAGUGGCAUGGGAUGGGGUCGCGUCCUAUCAGCUUGUAGGCGGGGUAAUGGCCCACCUAGGCUUCGACGGGUAGCCGGCCUGAGAGGGCGGACGGCCACAUUGGGACUGAGACACGGCCCAGACUCCUACGGGAGGCAGCAGCG
rnacentral:rRNA from 1 species